CUGAAUAACCCAGUGAUCGCACGGUCUUUGUACCGGCGACAUAUCCUUCAAAUGUCUGCCUUAUCAACCGUCGAUGGUAGUUUAUGCGCCUACCAUGGUUGUAACGGGUAACGGAGAAUUAGGGUUCGACUCCGGAGAGGGAGCCUGAGAAAUGGCUACCACAUCUAAGGAAGGCAGCAGGCACGCAAAUUACCCACUCUUGGUACGAGGAGGUAGUGACGAAGAAUAACAGGACGGCCUCUUAUUGAGGCCCGUCACUGGAAUGAGUACAGUUUAAAUCCUUUAACGAGGAUCUAUUGGAGGGCAAGUCUGGUGCCAGCAGCCGCGGUAAUUCCAGCUCCAAUAGCGUAUAUUAAAGUUGUUGCGUUUAAAAAG
rnacentral:rRNA from 1 species